rnacentral:rRNA from 1 species
UACGGCUCAGUAACACGUGGACAACCUGCCCAAAGGUCCGGGAUAACCCCGGGAAACUGGGGAUAAUACCGGAUAAAUCACAAAUACUGGAAUGGUUUUGUGGUUGAAACUUCCGGGGCCUUUGGAUGGGUCUGCGGCUGAUUAGGUUGUUGCCGGUGUAACGUACCGUCAAGCCUGUAAUCAGUACGGGUUGUGGGAGCAAGAGCCCGGAGAUGGAUUCUGAGACACGAAUCCAGGCCCUACGGGGCGCAGCAGGCGCGAAAACUCUACAAUGCAGGCAACUGCGAUAGGGGAACAUCGAGUGAUACUCAUUUUGGGUGUCUGUCCUCCCGUCUAAAAAACGGGAGUUAGCAAGGGCCGGGCAAGACCGGUGCCAGCCGCCGCGGUAAUACCGGCGGCUCGAGUGGUGGCCGAUAUUAUUGAGUCUAAAGGGUCCGUAGCCGGCUUUGCAAGUCUUUUGGGAAAUCCAGCGGCUUAACCGUUGGUCGUCCGGGAGAUACUACAUUGCUUGGGACUGGGAGAGGUAGGAGGUACUCAGGGGGUAGGAGUGAAAUCCUGUAAUCCUUUGGGGACCACCGGUGGCGAAGGCGUCCUACCAGAACAGGUCCGACGGUGAGGGACGAAAGCUAGGGGCACGAACCGGAUUAGAUACCCGGGUAGUCCUAGCCGUAAACGAUGCUCGCUAGGUGUCACAACAAUCGUGAAUUGUUGUGGUGCCGUAGGGAAGCCGUGAAGCGAGCCACUUGGGAAGUACGACCGCAAGGUUGAAACUUAAAGGAAUUGGCGGGGGAGCACCACAACGGGUGGAGCCUGCGGGUUUAAUUGGACUCAACGCCCGGACAGCUUACCGGGAUCGACAGUUGUAUGAAGGCCAGGCUGAAGACCUUGCCGGACUAGCUGAGAGGAGGUGCAUGGCCGCCGUCAGUUCGUACCGUGAGGCGUCCUGUUAAGUCAGCACGAGCGAGACCAUAUCCACUGUGCUUACAUGCCGCGAGGGAUGGUGAGUACACGGGUGGGAGACCGCUGGCGCUAAGUCUAG